rnacentral:misc_RNA from 1 species
CCGAUAAAAGCAUGUGUGAGAUGAAGGAAGGCGAUUGUGUGGUUCUGAGGACUUGUAAAUAUAAAGUUUUGAAGCCAAACCGCGGAAACCUUCGACUGGUAGAUACUUCACCGAUGUCCAAAAGAACAAAAGAACCUUUCUCUGCUCUGCUGACAUUUCCGCAACAAUCUCCCAAAACCAGGAUAUCAGAGGAUCGGUUUCUUUGUAGCCAUUGUACUCGGUAUGU